GACGUAGGGCGCGAGCGUUGUCCGGAUUAUUGGGCGUAAAGAGCUCGUAGGCGGCUUGUCGCGUCGUCCGUGAAAACCUGCAGCUCAACUGCAGGCUUGCGGUCGAUACGGGCAGGCUAGAGUUCGGUAGGGGAGACUGGAAUUCCUGGUGUAGCGGUGAAAUGCGCAGAUAUCAGGAGGAACACCGGUGGCGAAGGCGGGUCUCUGGGCCGGUACCGACGCUGGAGGAGCGAAAGCGUGGGGAGCGAACAGG
rnacentral:rRNA from 1 species